AAAGAUUCCAUUCAAACCCAGGAAGAAACCCAAGUGUGUGCUUUUGUGCCUGAGGAUCCAUCGGAUGAGCUUCCACACACAUCCAGUGUAGAUCCGACAGGCACAGAUCCUCUGGAGUCAGAGCCAACAGACAGAUCCUUUGAAUCUCUUUAUGAUGUGGGAAAGAAACUGAAAUCGAGACGCGGUGUCAGUUAUCAUGUAGGAUUUCGAAACUCUGAUGACAAACGAGUGAUCAUCAAAUUUAUUAAGAAGAACCGGUCUGAGAAACUGGUGGAAUUGCCUGGGUAUUCCAUACCUUUAAGUCAAGAGGCAGCUGCAAUGUUGAUGGUGCAAAAGCCUCCAACUAGCGAGCAUCUCGUACAAUUAUAUGAUCACUUUGUCAUGGAAGAUCAAGACAUCUUGAUUAUGGAGUAUUCACAUUCCUACAUCACCCUGUUUGAGUAUGUCCUACGAAACAGAGGUAACCUGUCUGAAACCGCGGUGAGACACAUCAUCCAGGAGCUCAUUGUUGCUCUUCAGCACUGCGUGAGUCGUGGUGUUUUUCAUGACACGCAUAUGAAAAGCAUACUUGUCUGCACAAAAACCCUGCAAGUAAAGUUGAUGGACUUUAGAGGCGCACUGAUCGUCGAAGAAAGACGAGAAGACGAACCUAUACUAAUUGGGGCAAUCAGAAAGUAUGCUGAAUGGGCAACAAUUGACGACAUAUGCAAAGUGCUGGAUGUGCUGGUCCCAAGAAUAAGUCGUUGGUUUUGGAUAAGACCACGCGUGUCCAAAGAAUGUCGGGAUCUUUUUGAGCGCCUUCAUGACAGAGAGUCACGGAUGACGUUACAGGCUAUUUUGGAUCAUGACUGGUUUAAAAGAAAAACCAAAGCAUAAGAAAAGUUCCCCUGCGUCGGCAGCUCCUCCACAGGGCCGAUAGCUCAGCUGCAGGGUCAUCAGCUGGGGAUCCCGGGGACGGUUGACGUCUUUAACCCCGGGACGUCUCCCUUGCACCCCUGCAUGAUCAGUGAGGGACCCCGGGGGCGAUUCACGCCUUUAACCCCCGGACGUGUCCAAAGAAUGCCUGGAUCUUUUUGAGCGCCUUCAUGACGGAGAGUCACGGAUGACGUUACAGGCUAUUUUGGAUCAUGACUGGUUUAAAAGAAAGCCGAAGCAUAAGAAAACUAUAGCCUAUGGCCAUGGCUUAUAGCUCAGCGCAGAGUCAUCAGCCAGGGACCCCGGGGACGGUUCACGCCUUUAACCCCGGGACUUCUCCCUUGCACCCCUGCAUGAUGACACUGAUGGCAACUGUCCUCAACUCGUAUCCUGUCUGCGUGCCUCCAACAUCUCCACAAACCUAUUCAGGACAUUAUCACGCCCCACCGAUAGCGGCCUUGUGGACAGGAUGUGCUGGAGGCUUACAUUUGGACUGCGUUCUUCCAGGCCAGACCACCGUGUUUCAGACAAGCAUCAUGGCAAGCCCAGCCAUUUUCCUGAAUUACUGUGGACAGUGGAUUUCACACAGCUUCAUUGUCCGCACAAUGUAACGCCACGCCUUGUACUUGCCUGGAAGCUGGCUUUGGUCAAUCCUUCCCUAGUGAAAAAAUAGUAAAGCACAAUUUAUUUGAAUGUAACUAAAAGUAUUUGUGGCACACUGUAAAUUGGUAUACUUAAAGUCUGUUUUAACUAAUUUUGUAGUAAAUGCAUUUUAGUUGUCCAAAAGCAAACUAAAGUUGUAUUACACACUUGUUU